UUCUAAAAUUUAGCCUCAUGGUCUCAAAAUCCACGUUUCCUCUUCAUGCACAACAGGAAGGCCCAGUCCCUGCACCACGUUGCAUGUGCAGGAUCAAUGAGACUGUUGGGAUCAUUGGCCUGAUCCUUCUAGGGAACACAGAGAGUCACAUGAGGUGUUUCUUCCCUGCUUGGAUGGGAAUUCAGAAAUGAGAUAUCAUGGCACAUUUGAAGCCUAAAUGCAUCCAGGAAUCAUCAAAGCUGUUCUGCCUGUGGGGUGAACACUUCCUCUAAUCUCAAUUUUGCUUUCUAAAUGUAAGGAAUGGACUGCUGGUGUCCACAGCCAUUCACUCCAAGACAGAAGUUUAAUAUCAACCAUCCAUUUCUGCCUGGCUGACCUGGAGCUGACACAGUGCUGAGAUCUCACCCAGCUCCAGUCCUGCCCUGAAUCUCACCCACAAAUCCACAGGGGUUUCUUCCUGCAAACAUGGAAUCUGAAAAAAAACCAUGUGGAGCAAAACAUGGAGAUAAAGAACGGGAAAAUGGAGUUCCAGCAGAGCGGAGAUUGGAACAAAAGGGGCAAGUUUCCAAGGCUCUAUUUUCCCCCAGAUUGAUGUUCCCGACUCUCCUGCCUCACCUGCCGCCUCACAGCUACAUGUGCAGGAGGCAUUGACGUAAAAAGCUGAUUUAUUGCCUAAACCCCACCAUUGUGCACUCUGUCAUUUGCAGCGCUUGGAUUUAUCACCACAUCCAGACCAAAACACUCGUGAUUCAUCAGCAAAGGCACCAGGCUGGAGAGCGGCGUGGGAGAGAGCCUGGCUUCAUCGCUUUGGAUCUGCCUCUGCUGCAGCCCUGAGACAGGAUUGCAGCUCCCAGGGUGGUGUGUGCUGUAAGGCAGCACCCAAAUCACCGUGGGUGCCAUGAAGAGCCUUGCCCACCUUUCCCUUGGGUCCAUCCCAAGUUUUCCCUCUCUGUUGCUGGGCUAAGCCCCAGUGUCCACGGCGUUCCAGAUGUUUGCUCCCAGGAGAAAGAGGAGAAAGAGGGUUUCCUCAAGAUGCUUAAGGCAUCCUCUGGAUGUGGGUGCAGGUUUUUGAGCCAAGAACACAGCUCAGCUCAACUUGAGUAGGGGAUUUUAGUGAGUUUAAUCCGUUUUAUACAUGCUCACUCAAUUGGCUAAUUACUGCUAAUUACACAGGCUUGAACUCUGGUCACGCUCUCUUGGAGACCUGGGAGAAGCUGCUCCUAUGUGCCCAGGAGAGCUGGCAUGGGACCACAUCUGCUGCCACAAGACAGCUGUGACCAAGGCAGCACUCACAGAAUGGCCUGGACACCAGAAUCUGAGCAAUGCUGGUGGCAGAGGAUGGGUUCCAAGGGGAUGCCAGGGCAGAGAUGCCCCAGCAGCUCACAGCAAUGUGCCCAAAAUGCGUGGACAUACCAGAAGAGAAUCCAGGGAUCAAAGGUGAUUCCAGCCACAGAUCCCUCCGAAUCCUUUCACACCAAUCUUGGCGCAGUGUUACGUAAGAGCAGCCCAGCUCCUGAAAAUCUGCCAGGCUGGCGAGCAGAGAGCAGCAAGGAGGAGGUGAGAAUAGAAACAAAUAAAUAAGAAUACCUGGCAGAUACCUCUACAAUCAAUCAUGUUUCCAAAUGCUGCAUAUGAGCAGAAAUCCCAGGUGUCCAAGAGCUGCCAAUGGGAUUGUUCUGGAAUUUCAGGAGUGUAAGGGAAAACAAAAUCUGGAUCAGCAAAGCAACUGCCCUCUGGACACUUGUUACCUGUCCCUGGGAAGGCUUUGAUGCACCGGCCUCCAAGCACCUGCAGAUGGGAUUUGCCACAUAUUUCAUCUGCAUUUCCAUGGGAAAAGGCAUGAAUGAAUGAAUUAGGGAUCUCUGGGGUGCAUGGAAAUUCUCUUUCUUGCUCCUGCAUUUCGUGUUCAGUGGUGCGUCUCCCACUGGCAGAGGCACAGCAGCUGUUUGACCAAUAGCACAUCACCAGACUUUCAUCCUAUUUCCACUUUCCUGCUCCCCUGACAGCCCUCCUGAUGCUGCUUUUUCAUGGGUUUUAAUUAGAGAAGCAGCUCAGCCAUGAAGCUGGGCUGAGAUCAGAGGCCGUGUCCCAGGCUGCAAACGUGCAUCUCUGGCCAGUGCAAUGAGGAACGUCCACGAUGAGCUGCCUUCGAGCCACGUGAGGCUGCAGCUGCACAGAAAUGUCCCACUUUGAGCAGCAAAGUGGGACUUUGAGUGGCUAUUCCUUGUUUUGCAUGGUCUGCUCACACCCCUCUGUGCCACCACAUCCAGGUGAGCUGUGCUGAGAGUCGCUGACGCUGUGAAGGGGAAGUUGUGCUCACCCCACCACAAACCAGCUGAAAAAGGGGCAAAAACCCCUUUGCUGGGUGUUCAGCACUGGCUGCUGUCUGUGUUUUUCCCUUUUCCCUCUGAGAAGAGCUCAGCUGAGUCCUGUGAAAGCCCAUAAGAGCUUUCCAGCUGGUUAUGCAACUCCCUUUGGCCCAGCAAAGGGAUUCCUGAGGAAGAGGGGAAGACGGGGCUCCUCUCGGUGCCAAAGCAGCGUCAACUGAUCCGCCACGGCUGCUCUCCACUUAAAGUAGGACAAAGCCUCCUCUGGAGCUGUUUCUCCUCUUUCUCCAAGAAGCAGAGCAGAUGAUGGCCAUGCUUUGCCCAGGGAUGCUCAGCCAUGGACAGGACACAUCAAAAUGGUUCUUGUGCCUCAUCUCAGAGCUUUAAACGUCAGAUUCGACCGAGGAAUUCAUCAGGAGUAUGGAAUAUGAUGGGUUUUCCUAAUCCAAAGUGCUGCACCAGGAAAAAUCCUAUAGUGGUCACUGCUAUAUUAGGAAAAAAGGGACUUAUGACAUUUUUAUAUGAGAAGGAUGUUAUUGGUAGCAUUUUUCUGAGUAUAAACCUUCCAAAACUCACCAAUAGAAUAUUUUUCCAUUUUGAAAGUAUCUUUCACCAGAAAAGCAUGAAGUACAACAACUUCUAAUAAAUAAAUUUUUAAAAACCCACUAGGAGGAGAGGAAUGGCAAGUCAUAUUUCUCCCAUGUCAAAAUUACCUGCCUCAAAAUUUUCUGAGCUGAAUUUUUUUUACCUUUGGUAUCAAAAAUGGGAUUUUUAACAAGCUUGAGAUGGACUUGCCAUUGGUGUUGACAGCUUUUGGGGGAUGGUUUCAGAUGGAGACCGGUUGUUAAGACUGGGAAACCAUCAGCUUGGUGGAAAUCAUGGCCUGGCUCUGGUAUGCAGAGUACACCCGUGAGAAGAGUGUAAGGAAGUCUCCAGCAGGAAUCCUGCUGCUGGCUGGCUGGGAAUGAGGGCUCAUCCAGUUUCUGCACAAGAUUUGAGUCCUUGGAGAGCCCCAAGGCAAUGCUGGAAGCUCAGGAGCAGCUGCCAGCCCCGAGUUCCUCGCCAGGUUCCACACAGGAACGUGCAGGAUCCACAAGUUUUGUUGCUGGAGGGAGAUCGUGGCACUGUGUGUUUUGUAAAUAAAACAUGACACUAAGAAAACUCCUGCCUGUGUGUCAUCAGCUCCCUUUGGAACAGGACACAGACCCUUCCAUCUCCAGAUCAGCCUCACAGCUUGCUCCAGCUGCUUCUCUUUUGUCUGACAAAUCAGUGCCACCCACCCCCAAAACCCUGCUGAAAUUUGGGGGUUAGCAAAAUAUUUUAGGCAUGAAAAGCAAGAGUGUGCAUGAGGCUUUAUCUCAAUUGUAACACCAGGCAAGCUGGGUGCAAACAGUAGGAGUUAUGAAAACAUUGGAAUCCUGGCUGUGGAGCGAGUUAGGAAAAAUAACACCUGACCUACAAGUCACCCAUUCUUGUUUUAGCAGUGUUUGGAGAGCCCGUGUAGAUCUUUGUUUGAAAUGUACACAAACACACUGAAUUUCAUGGGCUUAGCAAAUAUGUAAUCUAAAAGUGUGGGUGCCUCACAUUUCUCAGGAUCCGCCUACAAACAGGGAUAGAUCAGGGAAAUUUAAUUAUUUUUUGCACAUAUAUACACAUGUAUGUUUGUGUACAUGGUGUAAAUAUGUUAUUAUAUUGUAUUCACAGUAUGUGUUUAUAUAUAUGUACAGAAAAAUACUGAAGUCUUAUUUUUCUCUAUAUGUAGGUGAGUAUUAUAUGUAUAAAUUAUAUAUUCCUAAACUUAACCAGAUUAUGAGCAACAAUACAAUAAUAAAGCAACAUUUGCAAGGGAGAGCGAGGACAAAUCAGUGGGGAAAGGUGUUUUACACAGAGGUUUCCAAAGAAUGAGACCAAAGUGGUGUUUUGUGGAAUUUUAAGGGGGCAGAGGAGGAAAAGACCCAGAGGUCUCAGAGCCAUGAGCUGUGAGUGAUUUGUACUGAACAAAUCGUUCAUCACCAUGUAUUUAGCUAGUAGGAAAGUAGGAAAAGAAUUGUUGACAAAUUGAAAGAAGGGGUGGAGUUGUUGGUAUAUGAAGCAUGAGCUUCAAAAUUAUGGAGUGUUUCAAGCCCAUGUGCAGAAUUUAAGGACAAAGGGAUUUCCCUGGCUGUUCCCUCUCUGGAAAUAAAUCUGUUCCUUCUCUAGAAAUAAAUCAUUGUUGUGAGCAACACCGGAGAACAAAACAGCUUCAUGAUACUUAUAAUGCCUUGGUUGGGUCCCUUUUCUAAUCAGGGUGUGGGGCAAGUCUGGUUAUUUCCUGCAGAGAAAAGCUACCUUAUUAAAAAGAUAAUUUUGUGGUGGCAUUUUAAUAUAACUCUGGCUCUCCAUGGAGUUCACUGAUAAGGAAGGGUGCUUUUUUUUUAUGAUAAUGAGAAAGACCCUGUGCAAAAAUCCAGCCUGCUCCGAACAGGACACCAAGCAGCUGCUGUUGAGAUUUAGAGCUGGAACAAGACGAGUUGGUUAUAAAGGUGAUGAUGAGGCCUUUACAAAUUCAACUUUAUCUGUCAUUUCUUUCCUCCCGGCUACACCUCUUUUUACAAGAAUGAUCAGUGCUCUGGACCUUGCCUGAUAUGGUUCAGCAAGUGAGACAGAUUCUUUGCCCUGACCUUGUUUUGAAGGGCUAGUUCUGCCCUUUCAGAAGUAAGGAGUUUCCAGGUGAGUUCCAAAGUACAUUGUCUGGGUUGACCUGGGUUGCUAAGCUCUUCCCCUCCAUCCCAUUUCCCAGAGAGUUAACAGGAGUGAAAAGUACUCAACACCCCACUAAAGGUGCUCAGAUCCCCAGAGAACUUGUCCCUGGAGAGGAAAUAACAGCUGAAGGGUGAGAUGAGAUGAAGAUAUUUCCAGAAAUGAAAACAAGGCCAGGAAGGUUCCUCUGGAAACACAGGACAAAUUUUCCUUGUUAAAUAAUUCAGCUAAGUCCAAGAGAACGACUCGCCCUGCAGAAUUAGGAAGGAUUUGAAAGAGAAAGAAAGUAUUCGGUGCAAGAGCCGGAGGGGCCGUUCCCCGAGAAGGUGCAGCACAAAAAUAGAUGUAAAUCUGCAAAGGCUGUCACGUUGAAGAAAAUCUGAAGUAACUCUAUUGUUUUCCAUGGGGUUACUUUGGGUUUACACCAGCGUGACUAAGAUUAGCAUAUCAGCUUGGGCGUGCUCCAUACGAUAAGUGUUCGCUCGGGGAAGUGGAGUGUUGAGGCUGCUCUUGCAAGGGGCCUGAGCCUGUGUUUCAGGUAGACUCUGCAUCCUCUUAUCUCCUUCCUCCCGCAGACCUGAGGUGUGCUGAGACUGCAAGUCCUUUGCUUUAUCACCCGCACGAACCCGAACUCUGCUCCGGCCCCACCACGGCAAUGAGCUGCAAUGAAAAUUGUAUAACUGCUGGCAAGGAGGAACCCGACAGGAUAGUGGGAGCAAUCCACCCAGGGAAGGGAGGGGAGGAGGAAAGAGCUCGACACAGCCAGCCCUGCAAAUUAAAGUAGGAGUAAAUAAAGCAAUUAAACAAUAUUCAACUCGAGGUACAAACUGAACGGUGGGGAAGGCUCGCACAGCCUGUCUCCUGGACAAACACCAUCCAGUUUUAUGAGCACAACCUCAUUUAAGUGUUUGUAACCAAGCUGUAGCUUCAUAUAGAAUAAAAUAAUACAAGUGUGAAAUAAACAGCGAGAUGCUUUUGAACGAGGAGUUUCAUUCCUUCAUCUGCAAGGACUUGAAAGUGCUGUACGUCUGUUUCUUGAAGGAUUUGCAGGUGCAGAGCCACGUGUCUGAAAGUGCUCAGGACCUGAGGAGCUGCUCUGGACACCUUGCCUCAACCCGUGAGGUGUGAGGUUAAGGACAUCACGGCUGUGCUCCCCCAUCCAUGAAGUGGCCCCAAAAUCCCACCUGAAGCGGCCCCAAAAUCCCACCUGAAGCCACCAUCUCCCUCUCAUGUGGUGUGAGGGGCCAUGAACGCAAUGAGGGGAUGAUGUGAGGGCCAUGGCGACCCCUUAAUGUUCUCUGCAGAUCCCAGUCUGCAAGAACGCCACAAGGUGCAGACCUUUCUCCACAGAAAGGGUGAUUAGACAUUGGAACGCGCUGCACAGGGACGUGGCAGAGUCCCUGUCCCUCAAGGAACGACUGA
rnacentral:lncRNA from 1 species